rnacentral:rRNA from 1 species
GGUCUUUUGUUUAUAUAAAAGAUUUGACCUGCCCAAUGAUUGUUUUAAUGGCUGCAGUAUUUUGACUGUACAAAGGUAGCAUAAUCAUUUGUCUCUUAAUUGGAGUCUGGUAUGAAUGGUUGGAUGAGAUUUAUACUUUCUUUACUUUAUUUUUAAAAUUUAAUUUUUUGAUCAAAAAGUCAAGAUUUUUCUAUAGGACGAGAAGACCCUAUAGAACUUUAUUUCUUGUUUUUAUGAUCUUUUCUUGUUUAUGAAUAGGUUGUUAGAAUAAUAAGUUUUGUUGGGGUGACGGAAAAAAUAUUAUAACUUUUUUUAUUUAUUUCAUUUGUUUAUGAGUUUUUGAUCCUUUAUUAUGGAUAAAAAGAUUAAGUUACCUUAGGGAUAACAGCGUUAUUAUUUUGGAGAGUUCAUAUCGAUGAAAUAGUUUGCGACCUCGAUGUUGGAUUAAAAUUGGGUUCAGGAGUAGAAUAUUGAUGCCUAGGUCUGUUCGACCUUUAAAUUUUUACA